rnacentral:rRNA from 1 species
GAGUUUGAUCAUGGCUCAGAUUGAACGCUGGCGGCAUGCCUUACACAUGCAAGUCGAACGGUAACAGAUUAAGCUGACGAGUGGCGAACGGGUGAGUAAUACAUCGGAACGUGCCCGAUCGUGGGGGAUAACGCAGCGAAAGCUGUGCUAAUACCGCAUACGAUCUACGGAUGAAAGCAGGGGAUCGCAAGACCUUGCGCGGACGGAGCGGCCGAUGGCAGAUUAGGUAGUUGGUGAGGUAAAGGCUCACCAAGCCUUCGAUCUGUAGCUGGUCUGAGAGGACGACCAGCCACACUGGGACUGAGACACGGCCCAGACUCCUACGGGAGGCAGCAGUGGGGAAUUUUGGACAAUGGGCGCAAGCCUGAUCCAGCCAUGCCGCGUGCAGGAUGAAGGCCUUCGGGUUGUAAACUGCUUUUGUACGGAACGAAAAGGUUCUCUCUAAUACAGGGGGCUCAUGACGGUACCGUAAGAAUAAGCACCGGCUAACUACGUGCCAGCAGCCGCGGUAAUACGUAGGGUGCAAGCGUUAAUCGGAAUUACUGGGCGUAAAGCGUGCGCAGGCGGUGAUGUAAGACAGAUGUGAAAUCCCCGGGCUCAACCUGGGAACUGCAUUUGUGACUGCAUCGCUGGAGUGCGGCAGAGGGGGAUGGAAUUCCGCGUGUAGCAGUGAAAUGCGUAGAUAUGCGGAGGAACACCGAUGGCGAAGGCAAUCCCCUGGGCCUGCACUGACGCUCAUGCACGAAAGCGUGGGGAGCAAACAGGAUUAGAU